rnacentral:misc_RNA from 1 species
AACGCACAUUGCGCCCGCCAGUAUUCUGGCGGGCAUGCCUGUCCGAGCGUCAUUUCAACCCUCGAACCCCUCCGGGGGGUCGGCGUUGGGGAUCGGCCAGCUCCCUCGCGGGGCGGCCGGCCCCGAAAUACAGUGGCGGUCUCGCCGCAGCCUCUCCUGCGCAGUAGUUUGCACACUCGCAUCGGGAGCGCGGCGCGUCCAAUGCCGUAAAACACCCAACUCUCUGAAAUGUUGACCUCGGAUCAGGUAGGAAUACCCGCUGAACUUAA